AACCUCAUUUUACCUCACCUAACCCCCCAUCCCCAUUUCAUUGGGCCUCAUUUUCAUAAAAAUGGAGUAAUUUGUUUCCAUCAGAACUACAUAUUUUCAGAGACUGAGCGUGGGGAAUGAAACCCGGGAUUUUCGCCAAUUCGGACUUAUAAGACCUACCAACUGCUCAUUUAAUUGCGUUCUUUCUGUGUCAGAGCUGGGAUGGAGUCUGUAGGUAGAGGUGUUGUGUAACAACUGUGAGCAGAUGACACCAUUUCUGUGAACAAAGGCUAUCGACAACUUUCCUUGGACAACCAUAGGUCCAGGUUGGAUCCAUUGGAUCUAUGUGGGGCUGCUGAGAUUGAACCCACCGGCGCACACUCUGGUAACAGGAGCAGCCCCAUAGUGUCAGGAAUAGCAGCGGGUACCUCCUGCCGUAUCACUGGGGGAAUGAGAAUACAGUUCGAGGCUGUCAACCGAGCAAUACCGAGAAUAAAAUACACCACAGGGGUGCUUCAUAAAUGUCCAGGUGUAUAGAUCGUGUGGUGAAUCUCGGCAGGAGAAUAACUGACUGUCAUCUAGUGCUUUCAGCCGGUGCGUACUUUGUGGAGGCCUGUCUUGUGUACUGACAAGUCGUCGUGAUGUUGCUGGAGCAGUGGUUGCUGCGAUGUUGAAGACCACUGGCUCAAACAAGUCGGCGAAUUUACCUCUAACAGGCGGUGUACAUGAAGAUAUUAUACGGACGCUUCUUACCUCAGCCACUACACGCAGAGUUGUGUGUUAUCCUAAAGAAAUUAAACUGACGUACAAAAAAAAAGCACCCACUUGGUGCUUUCCGACAAACAACGAACAAGGGAGAUAACACACGAUGUUCGUACUCCUGGCCACCCUCCUCCUGUAUCCGCUGUGCGCCGUCGCCGAGGUGCAGCAAAGUUUGUUUGACAGACUCCCCUCCAUGGACGACAAGAUACUCACGUCCCAUGUCGUCAUGCCGAAGACCAUCCUGGACCUUGGGGCAUGCGGUUUUCACUGCCUGGUGAACUCCAAGUGUAAAGCCUUCUUCCACCACCAGACAAAGUCCCUGUGCCAGCUCCAGGCGGAGAAGGCAUCUGGUGGCAAGGAAGAGAAGGGAUGGUUGCACUACUUCAAGAAGUGAGAGGCUCAGGUGUGCGAGGUUUCCCAACACCCGGCAUGAGACGGUUCCUGGUUUGAUUCAAUGAAUGCCUUCAAGACAUUCAAACACUUUCUGUUUUUCCAUCUGCGAUUUACCUAUAUGGUGCAUGUAUUUUAUUACCUCGAAUCUUGUUUCCUUGAAUUAAGUGUCUAUCAUAUUUAAUAUCCAGAGUCCUUUGAAAAUUACGAAAAUAAAAAAUAUUUGUAUGGAACGGUU